GAUGAACGCUGGCGGCGUGCCUAAUACAUGCAAGUCGAGCGAACGGACGAGAAGCUUGCUUCUCUGAUGUUAGCGGCGGACGGGUGAGUAAAACGUGGAUAACCUACCUAUAAGACUGGGGUAAAUUCGGGAAACCGGAGCUAAUACCGGAUGAUAUUUUGAACCGCAUGGUUCAAAAGUGAAAGACGGUCUUGCUGUCACUUAUAGAUGGAUCCGCGCUGCAUUAGCUAGUUGGUAAGGUAACGGCUUACCAAGGCAACGAUGCCUAGCCGACCUGAGAGGGUGAUCGGCCACACUGGAACUGAGACACGGUCCAGACUCCUACGGGAGGCAGCAGUAGGGAAUCUUCCGCAAUGGGCGAAAGCCUGACGGAGCAACGCCGCGUGAGCGAUGAAGGUCUUCGGAUCGUAAAACUCUGUUAUUAGGGAAGAACAUAUGUGUAAGUAACUGUGCACAUCUUGACGGUACCUAAUCAGAAAGCCACGGCUAACUACGUG
rnacentral:rRNA from 1 species